UUUCUAUGUUGACAUGAUAUUAAAUUUGAAGUCACAUUAUAGAAUGUAAAACAUACAAACAACAGAAUAAAAAGAUGUAAUACAUAUAUAAAUUAGGCAUUUCAUGCAAUCAUACAGAUUGCGGAACGACACAAUAUAAGAAAUCCCUAAUUAAAGAAUCUGAAAAGGUACAAUUAAUUCAUUGGAAACAGAUCUUAAAGUUGUCGGAAAAGUUGAAACUAUUAUCAUUUUUUCAUGAGCAGCUGCCAAAGAAUUUUUAAUGAUUAACUGAGUAUAGAGGGUCGAUUACAAGCGCGAAAGCAUUGAGUUCAUUGGGAAGUAAGAGACUGGAAUCGGAGCGCCUUUUGACCUUACUUUGCUCUUCUGUUUCUCCGAAGAAGGCGCUUUCUGAUGUUUGAUGAUGGAAUCAGAUAUUCGAGAAGCAGAUGAAUUACUGUAACAGCUGAAAAAUCUUGAAAACAACCCCAUUUUUCUAUCCGUUCUUGGCUAUAUAUGAAUAAGAAAAUCGCGUUUCUUUCCUCGACACUAAAAAAUUAUGGAUGUGCAGGCUCUGAAGAUUGCUAUAAUUUCUUAGUUGUGAAUGGAUACUUAUAUAUAAUGAAAAUAUUCAAGAAGAAAUGGUGUGGAAUUUUCUUUCUUCAUUUUAUUUUGUCUUUUUGUUUAGGGAAGAGUUGAGACCAUUCAUGCUUGGUGGGCAAGGAAAGACUAUUACUUAGACCUUCUUUCUUGAUUUUGUCAGAAUUUUCCUACCUGUUUCUGAGUUUAUGUCUUGAGUGAAUUUUGAAAAAAUUUGACAAGGAGUAACAGUGGAAAGCCUCCUUAAAAACAUUUUCACAUACGAUAUAUUCC
rnacentral:lncRNA from 1 species